GAAUAGUCGACAGAAAUGAAAAAACAAACAGAAAACUUUGUUUUUGCCACGUAGCCAAACCGGAGUCUUCGUUGUGAGGCAAACAAGCUGGGUGAGUGGACAGUAGAGAAAGGAAGAAACUCCCCAAGGUGCAACAUGAGAAAUAUCCAGGUCAGUGGAAAAACAAACUUCCCAAGAAAUACGGUGUUAUAUGUUGAUCAUCUAAGGGCCCGCUUGGAUUGUCGUUUUCAGGGCAAAUACACCGGUAAAAUAUACCUCCGUAUGGAAAAUUCAGACCGGCUACGCAUGGCUGCUUGGUUGAUCGUUUUUGGUCCGUAAUAUUUACACAGGCGAGGUCGACGGCUUCGCCGCGACGCCGCCGCAACCACCACGGACCGGCAGGCUCUGGCGCCAGCGUCCAUGAUGGAGUGCCGGCGGCGAUGAUUGAUUCUGGCGCCGGCGAGGCGCCGGCGACGUUGACCGCGACGGCGGCUAGGUGAUGACGGGGUUGUUCAUGCGCGUCGCUAUAGGAUCCGCACCACGCGUCAGAUCUCCUUGUUGAUGCCGAUGACCUAGUCCAGCUCGCCCGCCACCGCGCGACUUCUCCGCCGGCUGCGCACGGCCGACGGCCUUGACCAGAGAGGUGGAGAUCGGGAUGGUGUCGGGCAGCAGGAACUGCAAGGGCAGCCUCUUGAGCGGGGGGAGGGGGUGGACGGGAGCGGCGGCGACGGCGGCAGCUUCCUGAUCCAUUCAUCCCCCACGACAGCCAAUGAGGAAGAAGACGCGUGAUUAUGGACGUGGGAACCGUGAAGGGGAAGGACAGAAUUUACAAGCGGAAAUUGUAUCCGGCUGUAAAUUACUGGAGACCAGUAUUAUGCGGUUGUAACUUGUUCCGACUGUAAGAUUUUUUCGGGGCUUCCAAGCGGGGCCUAAGGUAUAUUUGCAUUUGUACAUUUUGACUAUGCAGCUGACCUCAUUAUAUUUUUUUGACGAUGUAGUGUACACAUCUGUAUUUGUAAGUGGCGGCAUAAACGAAAGGGAGCAGAUCCACAUUC